GGAGAGGUGCAGGAGCGGUUGAACUGGCACGCCUGGAAAGCGUGUGUACCCCUAAAGGGUACCGAGGGUUCGAAUCCCUCUCUCUCCGCAA
rnacentral:tRNA from 1 species